UCUUGGUUCUCGCAUCGAUGAAGAACGCAGCGAAAUGCGAUACGUAAUAUGAAUUGCAGAUAUUCGUGAAUCAUCGAAUCUUUGAACGCACAUUGCGCCCUUUGGUAUUCCAAAGGGCAUGCCUGUUUGAGCGUCAUUUCUCCCUCAAACCCCCGGG
rnacentral:rRNA from 1 species